CGUGUGUCUAUGAUGGUGUUAUUAAAUAUACUUUGAGAUUUAUUUCUAUGAAUACAAUUUAACUCUGAGGCACCGA